AAAAUCAAUUUCCAUUGAAAUUGCCUAAUAAAAUCAUCUCAUAAACAAAUUAAAGCUUUAAUUUCAUUCUAUUUCAUCAUAAACUUACAGCACUCAACCAUGGUGACUUUAAAUUUCAUCCAUGAAAUUAAAAACUAAUGAAUUUAAUAGUAGGAUCUAGUUGUAAAAGUCUUAGAAACACAAAAAUUACAAGAAAAAGGCAAGGAUUAACUCACUUGGUGCAAAAAUUAUGAAAUACCAGCUUAGAGAACCCUCCUAUGGCGUUUUUAGCUGCUGGAAUUGAAGAGAAAUGAAGAGAAAUCUAGAUAUUUCCUAUUUAGUCCUAGUUUUAUUUAG
rnacentral:lncRNA from 1 species